UACGGGGGGGCAAGCGUUGUUCGGAAUUACUGGGCGUAAAGGGCUCGUAGGUGGCCAACUAAGUCAGACGUGAAAUCCCUCGGCUCAACUGAGGAACUGCACGGGAAACUGCUCGACUUGAGUUCGGGAGAGGGAAGCGGGAAUUCCGGGUGUAGCGGUGGAAAUGCGGUAGAUAUCCGGAGGAACAACCGGUGGCGAAGGCGGCUUC
rnacentral:rRNA from 1 species